rnacentral:rRNA from 1 species
UACGAAUGGAGCGAGCGUUGUUCGGAAUCACUGGGCGUAAAGCGUGCGCAGGCGGUCUUGAAAGUCAGGAGUGAAAUCCCAGGGCUUAACCCUGGAAUUGCUUUUGAAACUCCAAGACUAGAGUACUGGAGGGGUUGGCGGAAUUUCGAGUGUAGCAGUGAAAUGCGUAGAUAUUCGAAGGAACACCGAUGGCGUAGGCAGCCAACUGGACAGUUACUGACGCUCAUGCACGAAAGCGUGGGGGAUCAAACAGG